rnacentral:rRNA from 1 species
GACGUAGGGCGCAAGCGUUGUCCGGAAUUACUGGGCGUAAAGGGCGCGUAGGCGGCCCGCUAAGUCGAACGUGAAAUCCCCGAGCUCAACUCGGGAACUGCGUCCGAUACUGGCGGGCUUGAAUCCGGGAGAGGGAUGCGGAAUUCCAGGUGUAGCGGUGAAAUGCGUAGAUAUCUGGAGGAACACCGGUGGCGAAGGCGGCAUCCUGGACCGGCAUUGACGCUGAGGCGCGAAAGCUAGGGGAGCAAACGGG